rnacentral:rRNA from 1 species
GGAAUAUUGGACAAUGGGGGCAACCCUGAUCCAGCAAUGCCGCGUGUGCGAAGAAGGUCUUCGGAUUGUAAAGCACUUUCGACGGGGACGAUGAUGACGGUACCCGUAGAGGAAGCCCCGGCUAACUUCGUGCCAGCAGCCGCGGUAAUACGAAGGGGGCUAGCGUUGCUCGGAAUGACUGGGCGUAAAGGGCGUGUAGGCGGUUUACACAGUCAGAUGUGAAAUCCCCGGGCUUAACCUGGGAGCUGCAUUUGAUACGUGUAGACUAGAGUGUGAGAGAGGGUUGUGGAAUUCCCAGUGUAGAGGUGAAAUUCGUAGAUAUUGGGAAGAACACCGGUGGCGAAGGCGGCAACCUGGCUCAUGACUGACGCUGAGGCGCGAAAGCGUGGGGAGCAAACAGGUUAGAUACCCUGGUAGUCCACGCCUGUAAAACGAUGU